GAGGGGGGGGGGUCAAAAAGGUGGCAGAGGGAGAUGUUUAUGCUCUCACUGUUUCAGGCGGGGAUGCCCUCCUGCUGGAAACAAACGUGUUUAUAGCGCCGCCGGUCCGAUUUGUCCACAGUGAGAGAGACGGGUGUAAAACUGCAGACCGGAAUGUAGAUCCCACACACGUGUCCUUGGACUGCCUUCAUCGUACACGCGUGUCCUCUGACUGCCUUCAUCGUACACGCGUGUCCUCUGACUGCCUUCAUCGUACACGCGUGUCCUCUGACUGCCUUCAUCGUACACGCGUGUCCUCUGACUGCCUUCAUCGUACACGCGUGUCCUCUGACUGCCUUCAUCGUACACGCGUGUCCUCUGACUGCCUUCAUCGUACACGCGUGUCCUCUGACUGCCUUCAUCGUACACGCGUGUCCUCUGACUGCCUUCAUCGUACACGCGUGUCCUCUGACUAGCUUCAUCGUACACGCGUGUCCUCUGACUGCCUUCAUCGUACAUGCACGUGCUACCAGUGGCCUGGAUGCGUCGAUGCAUCUCUAAUGUACUGUACUUAAACAACUAUGCAGUCAGUGCGUGAACCUACUUGAUACGCAGCGCUUUGAGCCUUUCAGCGGUCCGAUCGGAACUCGAGUUUUACAACCUGUGUGUGUGUGUGAGAGUGUCCGUCCGUCCGUCCGUGUGUGUGUCCGUCUUUAUGUCUCUCCUUGGCUUGCUGCUUGAGAGACGGAGGCUGCGGGGGAGACGAGGAGUGAGACGGUACAGAGCUGGUUCCCUAGUGGCGGCUCUCUGUACUGGCAUCUUGACUCACCUGAACCCGUGAACCCGGGUUACCUCGGAGGAGAUCGGGUUGCGGUCUGAGUGAUUCAGAGGGAUGAGGGCGGCCCGGUUGGUUAUGCAGACUGACCGGGUUUUGUUUUUCAGUCCACCCCCCCCACCCCUUUGGUUUCCUUCUCUAAUUGCCGGGCUGCUCCGUGGCAUCUUUUAAAAACACGUUACACACACCCCCCCCCCUCCCCCCCCUUCCCAACAGUAUUUGCCACCAUCGCCGUCAUCAUGUGUCCGUUGUCUGUGGUUUUUGAGGUGCGCUGAGGGGUGGGGGGGGCAGCUGUAAUGGCGCCUUUGUGUUUUUUUUUGGCCCGCUUUAAUGGUUGAGGGUCGUCGUGUCCAGAGACCGAGGCCCUUUACUCAAUUUUAUCUGCAACUGUUGCAUUGUGAAUGGGCUGAGGAUGGUGGGGGGGGGGGCUUCUUUCACUGUUUUGAUGUCCUUUGUAAUUUCCCAAUUGUGGUGUGAUGCAAUGAUUUCUAUCUUGUAUGUAUUAAGUGCUAUGAAAUAUGACCUGAGUGUUUAAAGAAAACGUAGGAUUGAUCAUGGAAGAGUAACUAAAUGAACCUACGAAACGCAAAUGUCAUCACCGCAGAAACCAAUUGAUCACGCAGUAAUAAUUCCAUGCCUUUUUAUCGAGGCCCAAAUGCUCAGAAAUGAAAUCUCAAUUGAGACCGAACCCCAGAACCGCCACCUGUCCUUUCUCAUUCUUUUUUUUUUUUUAAUUAUUAGGGUGAAUGGGAUUUAAUUUGUCAAACUAGUGUUACUUUUAUCGUCUCUCUUCCCCCAUUGUUCUCUGAGCUGAUCGGUGAUUGCGUCACUGACGGGACAAACCCAACAGUCGAUUACAAAAACCUACAAGAACCUCAGGAAAACAAGACGUCUACCAACCAACAAACAAAUCCUUUUCCAACUGAGUGAACUUCACCUCGAGGAGUUUCACUGAUUGGCUUCAAUGGACUGUUUACAAUCUACCUUUAAUAUGCACAUGUGGAUAUUUGACGAUCACUUGAUGUUUGUUUUUGUUUUUUUCUUGUUUGUAUUUUUCUUUUUUUCUUAUGGUUUGUAAAUCUAUUUAAAAUCUGAAAUAAAGAUCUUUAUUAGAUAUAGACUGUUUUUUUGUAGUUUUAUUUUUAUAUGGAUUAAAUGAUUUUGAGUUUUUUUUUUUUGUUGUCUCUGAACUUUUUCUGCUUUCUUUCAUAGAAACUGGCGUCAAGUGAGGGAAACUCGGGGCUGGCAUCGAGAGGUAAGACCUGCCUCCCUCUUUUUACUCUUUUAUUGAGGAAAGUACAUGAUGAGACGUGUACCCAGUAGUCACCCGGCUGGUUUCAGAGGGUGGUGUUGACUUCAAAGGAUUUCCUGAUGCUUUCCUUUUUUUUUUUUUCAUCCAUUACAAGUGACGUUUUAGGGAGUUGCUUUUCUAAACACAUGGUUUCUUCUCCCCCCCCCCCCCCCCCUCCCCCAUUUUCUGUCCUCUAGAAAAUAUAAGACUCUAAAGACCAGCGUCCCUUUUAAGCUUGGGCCGUGCUGCCGUGUGAUGCGUUACAUGCGACUCCACCACACGCGCAUCACAUCAGCAGCGAGGGCGCUGCGACGCGGACGAGUCACAACAGUGGAGAUACGCCUGUCUCCCUGUGAUCGGAUGGUCUAUCAACAUCUUUUUAUGUCACACUGACCUCUGGGUUAACGUUCAUGUGUCUCUACAUGCAUGAUGGCUCCUGUAAGAAAACUAUUUUCCUCAGCGAAACUUU